GGGCGCGUAGCUCAGGGGUAGAGCACACCCUUCACACGGGUGGGGUCGCAAGUUCAAUCCUUGCCGCGCCCACCA
rnacentral:tRNA from 1 species